rnacentral:lncRNA from 1 species
CGGCUCCCUAGCCUUGUCCCUGCCUUCAAUUAGCUCAGAAGUGGGGCGAGAGCGGCCAGACAACAGCUUUGCAGCAGGGCCCCGACUCAACACCGCCUGUGUUCCCACACCGCAAAGGUGUUCCUGGACCGACCCACGAUGGAAGUGUGUUUGGUUCCAGGAGUCGUCCAGGGAGCUGGUCACAGAGCUGCUCCCUGCCCCAGGGGCCCUGGCAGAGCCCAGUGAGGUGGGGGCACUUUCCAGCCGCCGCUCCCUGCCACAGGGUCAGUCGCUGGCAGACGCUGGAGGAGCCCGUCCGACCGUGUGCUGGCCCUGCCUGGAGUACCCCAGCCCUGCAGGAGGAGGAGGGAGUCGAGGGCCAGCAUCUGCUCCUGAAGGCAGGGGAACCCCUGGAGCAGGAAAAGCACUCUCCUCGAUCAAUCCCUGCAGCUGCUCGGCAUGGAUGGCAGGACUCACACACAGCCCGUCUGCUCCUGUCCAGGCUGAGGACUGUAACCGAAGCCUAUUAGCUGACCGGGAGGGAUAAAUCCAGCUCCUCUGACAACUGCUUCUCGCUGGUCUUCUCUGGG